rnacentral:lncRNA from 1 species
GAUCCUCCAUGUCAAAUCACCAAGAGAAUUAUAAAGUGCAAAACGUACCUUAAUUCAUUGAGAAUGUUCUUGCUAGAUCUUGAUUCUAGAUUUUGAAUAUUGAAUAUUGACUCUUUCGAUUCUUGAGUUGUUGAUCUUGGUUUUGCUUAUUGAUCCAUAGACUUGAUUCUUGAAUUCUUCCUUCUUGAUUCUUAAUUAUGGUUUUUUUCCCCUAAUAUAUUUUCUCUUAUAUUCUUGAAUUGAUGAGAUGACACAAAGAAUGAGAAGUGACAUAUGAAUUGGAGAACAUAACCUAUAUAUAUACUUUUCAUAUGUAUUUCGUCCAUCAUGAAAUACAAUUCUAAAGAAAUUUGGUCUCUACACAUAUAAUUCGACCCAUAUUUUAUUUAGAUGAUCUAAGCCCAAUCACUUAAUUCUUUAUUAGAUCACUUUAAUUAUGAACUUAAUUUUAAGAUAGUCUUUAUAAACAAUUAAUUACAUACAUCGGCCUACAUGAAAAAUUAAAUAAUUUCCCAACAUUCUUGUGCUUGGCAUUCCUUCUUCAUCAAAGGGCACCUUUAUUUAUUGCCCAAAGUAGACAACACACAUAAAUUUGAAAUCGUCAUGAAGGUUGGUGUCUUUGGUUACUCAUCAAAAGUCUCAGAUGUCCCAAUAAUCACUAAAUUGAGGUUGGUAUCUUCGAUUGCUCACUACAGUUCUUCGUGUCGAGUUUUGACCAUUAAACUUCUCAGACUGACAUUGAGGUGAAAUGGAAAUGUAGGAAUUAUCAGGGACUCUUUAGAAGCAUAUUGGUUUUUUGAAUUUAUUAUUCGAAUGACAUGAAUGGUUCAACAUUCUCGUUUUGGAAGAGAAUGAAUGGUUUGUAGUAUUUCUAUGUAAAUUCAAGUGUAUCGAAUUUUACUAGGGAGAGAGAGGAAGAGAAAAGAAUGUUGAAAAUCAAGAAAAACGAAAGGAGAAAUAUUGAUCACGAUACAACUAAAGCUAGUAAUUACAUUUAAAAAAUAUCAACCCAAAAAAUCCAAAAUCCACUGUCAAUCUCCAAGAAAAAAGAGACUCCACCUUUGAAAUUUCUAUAUCUACAUAGAUCUUAAGCUUUUUACUGUAAAAUUCCAAUAGUAAAGGUUCAAAGGAGUUAUCCAUCGGACCGAAUGCUCUAAUACUACUAUUGGUCUCAGAGAUAACUACAAACUCAAAAUACAGUAAAGAAAAUAUGAAAACACUAAGAUUUUUCAUUUCAAAGGGUCCGAUUAUCAACCAAAAGGUCUACUCACCAAGUUGAGAAUCCACGAUAUUGUUAAUGCUACAAAUUCAAUAGCUCAAUCAAAUAAUGUUCAAGAUUACUAUGAAUAUGCGAAGUAUUCAUCAAGAAAUGCCCUCAAUUAUAGUUUUCUCUUACAACACGUUCCAAAACAAAAUUUACACCAAGCAACUAGAGAUUACUGCUCACCAAUAACUGUAUAUAAAUCCUCAAACUCUCUAUUUAAAUUUACCUCACAAACACAACAAUAAUCAGAGAGAAGACAAAGAAUUCAAAGAAAAUCUAGGAAAAAUUCUCUCUCAAAUGAGAGAGAAUUAAUUUAUGUCUAAAAGACAG